rnacentral:rRNA from 1 species
GACGAACGCUGGCGGCGUGCUUAACACAUGCAAGUCGAACGGAAAGGCCCUGCUUUUGUGGGGUGCUCGAGUGGCGAACGGGUGAGUAACACGUGAGUAACCUGCCCUUGACUUUGGGAUAACUUCAGGAAACUGGGGCUAAUACCGGAUAGGAGCUCCUGCUGCAUGGUGGGGGUUGGAAAGUUUCGGCGGUUGGGGAUGGACUCGCGGCUUAUCAGCUUGUUGGUGGGGUAGUGGCUUACCAAGGCUUUGACGGGUAGCCGGCCUGAGAGGAAGACCGGCCACAUUGGGACUGAGAUACGGCCCAGACUCCUACGGGAGGCAGCAGUGGGGAAUAUUGCACAAUGGGCGGAAGCCUGAUGCAGCAACGCCGCGUGCGGGAUGACGGCCUUCGGGUUGUAAACCGCUUUCGCCUGUGACGAAGCGUGAGUGACGGUAAUGGGUAAAGAAGCACCGGCUAACUACGUG